GGAGAGGUGGCCGAGCGGCUGAAGGCGCUCCCCUGCUAAGGGAGUAUGGGUUGAUAGCUCAUCGAGGGUUCGAAUCCCUCCCUCUCCGCCA
rnacentral:tRNA from 1 species